UACGUAGGGUGCGAGCGUUAAUCGGAAUUACUGGGCGUAAAGCGUGCGCAGGCGGUUUUGUAAGCCAGAUGUGAAAUCCCCGGGCUUAACCUGGGAAUGGCAUUUGGGACUGCAAGGCUUGAGUGCGGCAGAGGAGACUAGAAUUCCUGGUGUAGCAGUGAAAUGCGUAGAUAUCCGGAGGAACACCAGUGGCGAAGGCGGCUUUCUGGACCGACACUGACGCUGAUGCGCGAAAGCUAGGGGAGCAAACGGG
rnacentral:rRNA from 1 species